rnacentral:rRNA from 1 species
GCAAGUCGGACGGUAGCGAGCCUUCGGGAUCUUUAGAGUGGCGAACGGGUGAGUAACACGUAAAUGAUCUGCCUUGAAGUUGGUGAUAGCCUAUAGAAAUAUGGGGUAAUACCGAAUAAUUUUUUACCAUUUUGAUGGUUUAAGGAAAGGGGCUUCGGCCUCGCUUUAAGAUGAGUCUGCGGCUUAUUAGCUAGUUGGUAGGGUAAAGGCCUACCAAGGCUACGAUAAGUAGCCGGCCUGAGAGGGUGACC